GCAGAAUUUUUUUUUUCCCAUGUAAGUAGUUGAACAGAAAUUUUCUCUCAACAUUCAAGUUCACGCAUCUUAUGAAUCCAUAUUUGAUGUAUCUGUCUGACAAAUCUUCUAUUGGAAGGAUAAUUGUAUCACUUGUGGUCAUCUGUAUUUUAAUGUGUGCUUUCAACUUCAUGAUUGGUGUUGUUCACUUGGUUGCAGCAUUUGAAUUGGUGUCAAAUGCUUCAUGUAGUUUUUGUAAAAUUUAUGUUUCACACUGUAGUUGCUUUCAGCAGUACCCCAAUAUAGAGUUAAGAAAGAAGUUGAUGAAUAUUUGAACUUGCAGGAGGCUGUGGUGUCUGA
rnacentral:misc_RNA from 1 species